rnacentral:rRNA from 1 species
GCACGGGUGCGUAACACGUAUGUAACCUACCUUUACCAGGGGGAUAGCCUCUCGAAAGAGAGAUUAAGACCGAUAACAUUAUUGGAUAGAUUAUUUAAUAAUCAAAUAUUUAUAGGGUAAAGAUGGGCUGCGGAACAUUAGCUAGUUGGUAAGGUAAUGGCUUACCAAGGCUACGAUGUUUAGGGGAUCUGAGAGGAUGACCCCCCAACUGGUACUUGAGACACGGACCCAGACUCAUACGGGAAGGCAGCAGUAAGGAAUAUUGGUCAAUGGGCGGAAGCCUGAACCAGCCAUGCCGCGUGCAGGAAGACGGCCCUACGGGUUGUAAACUGCUUUUAUACGGGAAUAAACCUACUUACGUGUAAGUAGCUGAAUGUACUGUAAGAAUAAGGAUCGGCUAACUCCGUGCCAGCAGCCGCGGUAAUACGGAGGAUCCAAGCGUUAUCCGGAUUUAUUGGGUUUAAAGGGUGCGUAGGUGGCCUGUUAAGUCAGGGGUGAAAGACGGUAGCUUAACUAUCGCAGUGCCCUUGAUACUGAUGGGCUUGAAUGAACUAGAGGUAGGCGGAAUGUGGACAAAGUAGCGGUGAAAAUGCAUAGAUUGUCACAGAAC